rnacentral:rRNA from 1 species
UGAAAAAAUUAGAGUGUUCAAAGCAUGGCCCAGAUCGUUUACCGUGAAAAAAUUAGAGUGUUCAAAGCGGGCAGAUAUUUKUCCUGCCACCGAAUACAUUAGCAKGGGAUAAUGGAAUAGGACCCUGACCUCCUAUUUUCAGUUGGUUUUGUUUACAGCGAGGUUAUAUCAGGGUAAUGAUUAAUAGGGAUAGUUGGGGGCAUUAAUAUUUAAUUGWCAGAGGUGAAAUUCUUGGAUUUAUGAAAGAUUAAMUUCUGCGAAAGCGUUUGCCAAGGAUGUUUUCAUUAAUCAAGAACGAAAGUUAGGGGAUCGAAGACGAUCAGAUACCGUCGUAGUCUUAACCAUAAACGAUGCCGACCUGGCCCANAUCGUCCCCGAWURWGAGMCCAGAUUGAANNNUACUNNNAAAACACCGCCGUUAAUCCUUUCGGGGGUUAAUGGUUGGUGAAUGACUCCCCUAGCGGCUUGUGAUAAGCCCGGUGGCACCGG